AAUCCACAUGUACCGUAUUACAGAAAAGAAAUGAAAAGAAAAAUGAGUAAUGGAAGAUAUAGAUAUAUUGUUCGAUUUCUUGUUGCUGGUGCCACUGCGUUAUCGAUUUCGUCUAUUAUAGUUGGAAUCCAAUACAUUCUUUAUGAUAACGAAGUAAGGUCUC
rnacentral:ribozyme from 1 species